CGUUCAUGCAUUAUCUCCUGAGAUACCGACGAGGAAAGUGGGCUCAUUGGGUAUAAAUAACUUGUCCAGGUCUGCAAGACUAUACAGAGCACAGACUCAGGAGACAAUGGUGUAAACUUACUGUCAGCAUGUUGCUGGGAGAGCAAGAGGCAGAAAACCUCUCUUACAAGGAAAGGAUGCCUGAGUGAGCUUCUCCAUUUGCAGACUGAUUGGCCCCUCCACCACAAUGACUGUCCAAGUGUGGACACGGCCUUCGGGAGGUUUCUGUUGCCAACUCAAUGUGACCUACUCGGUGAAGAAAGACAGUCCCUCCUCCCUGUUGGCAGCCGGGAGGGUGAUGCUGUGGGAGGAAGGCCCUGGAAGCCUCAGGGGAGGACGGCUUUGUCAUUGUCUGGACGGGGGAUGUGUUGCCUCCUUGCUGCACAGCUGUUACUGCUCCUUGGCCUACAACGGACACCGAGCAGCAGACCACCCGAAUGGAAGCCUGUUUCUUAUUUGCCUGUCGCCAUGCGGCCUGUCCACCUCAGCUGCGUGAGGAACGCCAGAUGCCUGGAAGGAUUCUGGAGACAUUCUCCUUGGCUCUGAAUUACUGAUAGAACUGGGAGAGAAGGAAAAGAUCAGGAUGGACUGCUGUCUCACGUGACCAGUAGGAGACGCUGGAAGCACCAAGGGAGGCACCAAAGUCCCAAAGGAGGGAAACAACUUUGCAAGAAAAUUAGGGAGCAAGAAGUCAGGUGUGCCUCUCUUGAUGCCAUGCAGUGUUCCAAGAAAAUGCUGCACCUGGGUUUUUCCAUGCAAAGGGAUACUGUGGAUCUGACUUCCUACAGCUCUGAGAUCUUUAAGGCAAGAAGCAGCAAUAAACUGAUGUCUUGGAGCUGCCAACAAUUAUUUUCUCUGUGAGGAUAGAAGCAGAAUUCAUCUUUGGAGGAAGGCUGGUCUUUUAUUUUGUGAAAAACACCAACUAUUAGAUUAUGCAAAGGUCAAGUUAGAAUCCUACUCUGGAGGGGAGAAAUUUGAGACAAAGAAAAGCUUAGCAGAAAGCUAAAUUAGUCUGCAUAACCAUGCAGAAUAACUACACAAGUGGCAACUCUGGAAAGCGUUACAUGUCUGAGGGGAGUUGGGGGCUUGGGUUUUAGGAGACUGGUGAUGGUGGAAGGUGGAUGGUUCUCAACAAGACGUAAGGUAAAUGACUGCGCCUGUCAGGGGUGGGAUGCUGGCAGGAGGGCACGGUUGAUGGACCCCAGGAGCAAUGAUACCUGAGAUCCACUUUAAAAUGUCUUCUUCUCUUAACAAAGGGACAACAACUUGUCUGUUCUCCUUCCCCGA